rnacentral:rRNA from 1 species
UAGGGAAUCUUCCACAAUGGGCGAAAGCCUGAUGGAGCAACGCCGCGUGCAGGAUGAAUGCCUUCGGGUUGUAAACUGCUUUUAUAUGUGACGAUUAUGACGGUAGCAUAUGAAUAAGGAUCGGCUGACUCCGUGCCAGCAGCCGCGGUCAUACGGAGGAUCCAAGCGUUAUCCGGAAUUACUGGGCGUAAAGAGUUGCGUAGGUGGCAUUGUAAGUUGUUAGUGAAAGCGUUCGGCUCAACCGGAUACACAUUACCAAAACUGCAAAGCUAGAGGAUGAGAGAGGUUAUUGGAAUUCCUAGUGUAGGAGUGAAAUCCGUAGAUAUUAGGAGGAACACCGAUGGCGUAGGCGGAUAACUGGCUCAUUCCUGACACUAAGGCACGAAAGCGUGGGUAGCAAACGGG